rnacentral:rRNA from 1 species
CCUACGGGGGGCUGCAGUGGGGAAUAUUGGACAAUGGGGGCAACCCUGAUCCAGCCAUGCCGCGUGUGUGAAGAAGGCCCUCGGGUUGUAAAGCACUUUCAGUGAGGAAGAACGCCUGGUGGUUAAUACCCAUCAGGAAAGACAACACUCACAGAAGAAGCACCGGCUAACUCCGUGCCAGCAGCCGCGGUAAUACGGAGGGUGCGAGCGUUAAUCGGAAUUACUGGGCGUAAAGCGCGCGUAGGUGGCUUGAUAAGCCGGUUGUGAAAGCCCCGGGCUCAACCUGGGAACGGCAUCCGGAACUGUCAAGCUAGAGUGCAGGAGAGGAAGGUAGAAUUCCCGGUGUAGCGGUGAAAUGCGUAGAGAUCGGGAGGAAUACCAGUGGCGAAGGCGGCCUUCUGGACUGACACUGACACUGAGGUGCGAAAGCGUGGGUAGCAAACAGGAUUAGAUACCCCUGUAGUC